UACGAAGGGGGCUAGCGUUACUCGGAUUUACUGGGCGUAAAGGGCGCGUAGGCGGUUUUUCCAGUCAGACGUGAAAUUCCUGGGCUCAACCUGGGGGCUGCGUUUGAUACGUGCGGACUUGAGUUCGGAAGAGGGUCGUGGAAUUCCCAGUGUAGAGGUGAAAUUCGUAGAUAUUGGGAAGAACACCGGUGGCGAAGGCGGCGACCUGGUCCGAUACUGACGCUGAGGCGCGAAAGCGUGGGGAGCAAACAGG
rnacentral:rRNA from 1 species